UCUUGACAGUUGACAGUCUUAAAUGACAAUAAAUUAAACCGAUGUUCCGUUUGUAUAUACAUAAUAUCAAGAUUAAAAUUUUGCUAUUAGUAAAUAAAUAGUUUAAUUUGUAAAUUAAUAUUCAAAUGGCGACUCCAACUCCUGAUACUUCUGAACAAUACGAUCAGUUCGAAGAUGAUGAGUCUGAACAGCAAUUGGGAGCUACAGCAUCUGGGCGUAAACGACUAUUCAGUAAAGAACUUCGCUGUAUGAUGUAUGGCUUUGGAGAUGAUCAAAAUCCAUACACAGAGAGUGUUGAUUUCCUAGAGGAUCUGGUUAUCGAAUUUAUUACAGAAACUACUCAUAGAGCUAUGGAAGUUGGUAGACCAGGUAGAGUUCAAGUAGAGGAUAUAAUAUUUCUUGUUCGUAAAGAUUUCCGAAAAUAUGCUAGAGUUAAAGACCUUCUUACAAUGAAUGAAGAAUUAAAGAAAGCUCGAAAAGCUUUUGAUGAAGUAAAAUAUGUUGAAGAUCAACAAUAAUAUUGGCAGUUCAUGUGAUGCCCAUGCUUCUAGAGUGAUGCAAAGUGAUAACUUUAAAUAAAAAUUGGACAAAAACUUACAGUCUGGAUGCACAAUGAUUGCUGUCCUAGAAAGAUUCCUAGACAUGAAGUACUGUACUGCAGAAAAUAAUAAAGUUGGAAUUAAUGUUA